rnacentral:rRNA from 1 species
GUCUAUACAGAGGAAUCUGCCUUCAACACUGGGAUAACUCCGGGAAACCGGGGCUAAUACCGGAUACGAGACCUGCAGGCAUCUGCGGGUCUGGAAAGUUUUUCGGUUGAAGAUGACCUCGCGGCCUAUCAGCUUGUUGGUGAGGUAAUGGCUCACCAAGGCGACGACGGGUAGCCGGCCUGAGAGGGCGACCGGCCACACUGGGACUGAGACACGGCCCAGACUCCUACGGGAGGCAGCAGUGGGGAAUAUUGGGCAAUGGAGGGAACUCUGACCCAGCGACGCCGCGUGCGGGAUGAAGGCCUUCGGGUUGUAAACCGCUUUCAGCAAGGAAGAAGCGAAAGUGACGGUACUUGCAGAAGAAGCACCGGCUAACUAUGUGCCAGCAGCCGCGGUAAUACAUAGGGUGCAAGCGUUGUCCGGAAUUAUUGGGCGUAAAGAGCUCGUAGGUGGUUCGUCACGUCGGAUGUGAAAAUCUGGGGCUUAACCCCAGACCUGCAUUCGAUACGGGCGAGCUAGAGUGUGGUAGGGGAGACUGGAAUUCCUGGUGUAGCGGUGGAAUGCGCAGAUAUCAGGAGGAACACCAAUGGCGAAGGCAGGUCUCUGGGCCAUUACUGACACUGAGGAGCGAAAGCGUG